rnacentral:rRNA from 1 species
UACAGAGGUCCCGAGCGUUGUUCGGAUUCACUGGGCGUAAAGGGUGCGUAGGUGGCAUGGCCAGUUUGAUGUGAAAGCUCAGGGCUUAACCCUGAAAAUGGCAUUGAAUACUGCUGUGCUGGAGGUUUGGAGGGGGACUGGAAUUCUUGGUGUAGCAGUGAAAUGCGUAGAUAUCAAGAGGAACACCAGUGGCGAAGGCGAGUCCCUGGACAACACCUGACACUGAGGCACGAAAGCCGGGGGAGCAAACGGG